rnacentral:rRNA from 1 species
AUUGUUUAGAUCUGAAAUCAGGUGGGACUACCCGCUGAACUUAAGCAUAUCAAUAAGCGGAGGAAAAGAAACUAACAAGGAUUCCCCUAGUAACGGCGAGUGAAGCGGGAAAAGCUCAAAUUUAAAAUCUGGCAGGUUAUCCUGUCCGAGUUGUAGUUUCAAGAAGCGUUUUCGGUGCGCGUCUGGGUAUAAGUUCUUUGGAACAGGACAUCAUAGAGGGUGAGAAUCCCGUUUAUGACCCGGAACAGCGUACUAUGUGAUACGUUUUCUAAGAGUCAGGUUGUUUGGGAAUGCAGCCUAAAAUGGGUGGUAAAUUUCAUCUAAAGCUAAAUAUUGGCGAGAGACCGAUAGCGAACAAGUACCGUGAGGGAAAGAUGAAAAGAACUUUGAAAAGAGAGUUAAACAGUACGUGAAAUUGUUGAAAGGGAAACGUUUGAAAUCAGUCGUGCGGGCGGGUAAUCAGCUUGGCCUUUGGGUCUUGUGCACUUACUCGUCUCGCAGGCCAGUGUCGGUUUUGUUCGCCGGAUAAAUGCCAAGGGAAUGUAGCUCAACCUUUUACGAGGAGGGGUGUUAUAGCCCUGGUAAAUACGGCGGUCGAGACCGAGGUCUGCAGUUGAUGCCUCUCGGGGCUGGGGACUCCAUCGCUCAUUCGCACCCGCGCCUAGACAGCUUGCUGACUAGGUGUGUGGUCUGUGGGUGACAUGGUGGGCUACCACACAUCGACUUAGGUCGCUGACUUAAUG